UAGUUCAUGUACAAGCUCCAUGUCCGC
rnacentral:sRNA from 1 species